rnacentral:lncRNA from 1 species
GAAGUCCAGCUAUUUCCUCUGCGCUUAAUAUUGUUAGCAGCUUUCUGCUGCGUUGGGUCUGGCAAAGGUGAGUCCAUGAACUUGGCUGUUUAUUAUAUCUUCCAAUAUUUUUCCUUUUCCCGGAGUUCUAUUCAUUUCCUAUACUUGUUUAUUUAUUUCUCGAUAUAGAGGUUGUUUCUUGGACACUGUCUGCAAAUUUUCCUUGUGGGUUUUGUCUGAAGUGGAAAAUAAAAUUACCUAUAGUUGUUGAAGCUCAUUUUCUGCAUAGAACCUGAAAAACCUGCCGCCAUUAAACCCUUAGAAUAGAUGACAUAUUUUUAUAUAAAAAAUUACCCUUUGAUUUGAGAAUCAUUGGAAAUAAUUCAUAAGUUUCUCGUAUGGUGAUAUACUGAAUAACUGAAAAUUUGAGCAUUUUCUUAUUCUGCAGCGAAGGCCAUGCGUUAUGCCACUUUCAGUUUUGGAUGUUCAUCAAAUGAGAAGUGCUAUAGGAAAACUAAGAAGAUAGCAGUUUUUCCUUCUCAAAUUCCUAGGUAUAUAAGAUGGUACAACAGCAGUGGUGCUGGACUUCCUUUAAGAUUUCCCUCACAUAACGCUCAUCCAAUUCUUCAAUCCUGUGGUCUUCAGCAUUGGUUCAAGAAUUGGCAAGAAUUGAGAAAGAAUAAACUUACAGCUAGCACUUUUAGUCAAGCUGUUGGUUUUUUUCCUAAGCGCAGACCCCAACUCUGGUUGGAGAAAAUCGGGGCAAUUGAACCCUUCUCGGGUAAUUUAGCUACCUGUUGGAGUAACAUCAGUCAAGCUGUUGGUUUUUUUCCUAUGCGCCCCCAACUCUGGUUGGAGAAAAUUGGGGCAAUUGAACCCUUCUCGGGUAAUUUAGCUACCUGUUGGAGUAACAUCAAAGAAGAGGAGGCUCUUGAGAGAUAUAAGCUAAUAACUGGAAAUCCUGUCUCUUUUACUGAUUUUCAGGUAUAAAAUCAAAGAAGAGGAGGCUCUUGAGAGACCUAUUUUUAUAUAAAAAAUUACCCUUUGAUUUGAGAAUCAGUGGAAAUAAUUCAUAAGU